rnacentral:tRNA from 1 species
CAAAUUAAUCUAAUUAGAUUAGGAUUUUAUUUACAAUAAAAUUAUUUUGUGCAAUUCAAAUAAUUUGA